rnacentral:misc_RNA from 1 species
GUGAAUCAUCAAAUCUUUGAACGCAAAUUGCACUCUCUUCGGAGAGUAUGCCUGUUUGAGGGUCAGCCUAAAUAAAAUCGAUGUAGUCGCUGUUUCGUGGUGACAUUCGUUGGAAUUUGGGCCAUUUUAAACCUUUGUGUUUUUUAAGCGGCUUAAAAUUUUUUUUACGAUUCCAGGAACGUUUCUAUGAUUUUAAUUCUUACUUAUGUUUAUGGCAAUGAUUUUUAUUAGCC